rnacentral:rRNA from 1 species
UACGUAGGGUGCGAGCGUUGUCCGGAAUUACUGGGCGUAAAGAGCUCGUAGGUGGUUUGUCGCGUUGUUCGUGAAAACUCACAACUCAAUUGUGGGCGUGCGGGCGAUACGGGCAGACUGGAGUACUGCAGGGGAGACUGGAAUUCCUGGUGUAGCGGUGGAAUGCGCAGAUAUCAGGAAGAACACCCGUGGCGGAAGGCGGCUCCUCUGGGACGGUACUGACGGCUGAGACGCGAAAGCGUG